rnacentral:rRNA from 1 species
AUUGAACGCUGGCGGAAUGCUUUACACAUGCAAGUCGAGCGGCAGCGCGGGGGCAACCCUGGCGGCGAGCGGCGAACGGGUGAGUAAUGUAUCGGAACGUACCCAGUCGUGGGGGAUAACUAAUCGAAAGGUUAGCUAAUACCGCAUACGACCUGAGGGUGAAAGCGGGGGACCGCAAGGCCUCGCGCGAUUGGAGCGGCCGAUAUCGGAUUAGCCUGUUGGUGAGGUAAAGGCUCACCAAGGCGACGAUCCGUAGCUGGUCUGAGAGGACGACCAGACACACUGGAACUGAGACACGGGACAGACUCCUACGGGAGGCAGCAGUGGGGAAGUUUUGACAAUGGGGGCAACCCUGAUCCAGCCAUUCCGCGUGAGUGAAGAAGGCCUUCGGGUUGUAAAGCUCUUUCAGCAGGAACGAAACGGUGGCCCCUAAUACGGGCUGCUAAUGACGGUACCUGAAGAAGAAGCACCGGCUAACUACGUGCCAGCAGCCGCAGUAAAAC